rnacentral:misc_RNA from 1 species
AUUUUUUAAUUUUUUACUGUUUUCACACAGUUGAGAUUGAUCAGAUAUGAUGUUCAGAACAGAAUGUCGGGAAAAUAAAAGACAUUAAACAAUGUGCAACAGGAAGCCUUUUGGGCACUUGCUCAGGUGGAUUUGCACUUUUAACACAUGCAGGCGUGUCUCGCGGGCAGUUUUACCACAUACCCGAGGUGGAAAGACGUUUUACGCAUCUUCGUUAUCACAUAGUAGUGAAUCAGUUGGCAAGAUUUCGAAGGAAACCUUGCCAACCAACCUUUUUAUUUUUAAUGAUCCAACCGCAGGUUCACCUACGGUUA